rnacentral:lncRNA from 1 species
AGUCUGAUGUGUCCUGCCCAAGGCUUCAAAACUUGACAAGCUGCACUUCCUUCUUACACUCAAUGAUAUCUGCUUUAAACCCAAGGACUGCCUAUAGUUUCAUUAAGAAUGUCUUCUAAUUCGGAUACUGGGGAUUUACAAGAAUCUCUAAAGCACGGACUUACACCUAUUGGUAAGUAGGAGUUGCUCUAUUUAUUAUCUAUUUAUUAUCCUGCUAUGACACUAAUACAUGUAAUUCAAUGCCAUUGAUGUAUUUACUAUUAUCAGUCACUGCUUUUCCAGUUGUGUUUAUUAAAAGCACGUAAGUCCACGUAUAUAUCACACAUUUAUCUUUCUUGAAGUUAAAGAGGCAAAUGAAUAUUUCAAAUAUUCUUAUAGCCUUUGUUUUUGGAUGUCAUUCCACCAGCCUAAAAUAGCCAGAAAACAAAAAGUACAAUAUAUUCAUUUCAUCCCUAAUAUUUUCUGAUACUUUUAAAUGAGAAAUAAUAAACUAAAAGUUGAACCAGUUGAAACAAGUUAGCCAUAUGGAGUCAUCCCUGAUCCAACCUUAGCAAAGGCUUUCAACUGUCUGUGGAGUUCGAAGCCACACCACCGUGCAUCUCAUUCAUUGUAGGCACUACAGAAAAUUUUGCUUUUCGUUCCAAAAGACAAAAUCAAAACCCAAAAUCAUACCAUCACUAGUUAAGAAGUUAAGGGUUACAGGUUUUCAAAAUAAUGAGUCUAUCUUCUUUUUAUAAACAGAAUAAGUACACAAAGCUAAU